rnacentral:tRNA from 1 species
GGAGGAGUGGCUGAGUGGCUCAAAGCGAUCGCCUCGAAAGCGAUUGUCCUGAAAAGGACACACAGGUUCGAAUCCUGUCUCCUCCGCCA